UACAGAGGUCUCGAGCGUUAGGCGGAAUCACUGGGCUUAAAGCGUGUGUAGGUGGAUCGGUAAGUACCUUGUGAAAUCCCACAGCUUAACUGUGGAACUGCUUGGUAUACUGCCAGUCUUGAGCCAGCUAGGGGCUACCGGAACAAAUGGUGGAGCGGUGAAAUGCGUAGAUAUCAUUUGGAACGCCAAUGGUGAAAAACAGGUAGCUGGGGCUGUGCUGACACUGAGACACGAAAGCCAGGGGAGCAAACGGGG
rnacentral:rRNA from 1 species